UUAUGGCCAUAUCACGGUGAAACAUCAGUCCCCGUGCGAACACCGGUGUUAAGCAACGUUGAGCCUGGUCAGUGCCUAGAUGGGUGACCUCUUUGUAUUACCAGGUGCUGU